UAACGUAGGGCGCAAGCGUUUAUCCGGAAUUAUUGGGCGUAAAGAGCUCGUAGGCGGUUUGUCGCGUCUGCCGUGAAAGUCCGGGGCUCAACUCCGGAUCUGCGGUGGGUACGGGCAGACUAGAGUGAUGUAGGGGAGACUGGAAUUCCUGGUGUAGCGGUGAAAUGCGCAGAUAUCAGGAGGAACACCGGUGGCGAAGGCGGGUCUCUGGGCCGAUACUGACGCUGAGGAGCGAAAGCGUGGGGGAGCGAACGGG
rnacentral:rRNA from 1 species